rnacentral:lncRNA from 1 species
AAUAUUUAACUUUAUAGAUUUUAAUAGGUUACUGGUAUUGAAGUGUGAGGCAUAGAAUAUCAGGGUGACAAUGUUUGUCUAAUUAUAAGUUUUUGUUUUUGUUUGUUUAAUAUUUAGUUUUUAUAUUAGUAUCAUGAGUGUAGUAGUACAAUAUAGAGUAGUUUACAACAACUACUUAUUAAUCGAUGAAUGCAUCAAUCAUAGAUGUAAUACCCAUAGAUAAAGCUCGCCAAAAGUUCCCCACUGUUCUCUAUUGUUAGAUACAAAGAACCAUGACCAAAUUGACUGUCUUUGAUGUUAUAUGUGUGUUGUACCCAAUCAAGUAACUCUAGCCAUAUAUCUUAUCUGUUAAUCUCAUUGACCAGUACAGCAUAAUAGAUUUUCUUAAAUGUCUUCUCGAGUUAUGUCCCUUCUGUUGUUAAUAUAUGUCUAUUUUUAGCGCACUGGACAGACAAACAGAAUGGUCAAAAAAUGGAUGAAAUCGAUCAAAAAUUCCGCAUUUUACGAGGGAAAUAUUGAACUAAAUUCAAAAAUGUAUUUUUUAGACUUGUGUCUUCAUAUUUCAUAAAAACUGUGUUCCUGUUAGUUCCUGAAAAUGGGAAUAGCACCUUUCUGUGCUUCUGAAAUACACCUUUUCUUUGAUAUGCUUCAUUAAGGUGUCGAACUGCGUCGAAUUUGGGAAAUAAAUAAUAAGAAAGUACAUUAUUUUCCUUUUUUCAUCAGUUUUUCUGGUUUUAAAAGGGAAAUUGUCUUUUUAAAAUCAUUUUUAUAUUUUUCAGAAUAAGUUAGUUAAUAUAUCAUAGAUGAAUUUUAUAUAUUUUAUGGCUAAUUACAAAAAUUAUAAUAAUUUCAUUCAAGUGGUUUAUGAAAUAUGUAUUUAUAAUUACUGUAAAGAGUUUUAAGUUUAGUGAAAUAACAAAACAUACAAUGCAUGGAAACUAAUUUUUGGAGCAUACAUAUUUUCAACUUGUUUAAUGUUUUCUAACAAUUAUAUUUUCAAUAAACUUGUUUAUAAAUAAUAGUAAAUAUUGUUAAUUAUAAGAUAGAGUUAAAUUGAGAUAUAAUUUAAACAGGAUCAAAACAAAAGUGCUGCCUAAAAAAGAAAAAUAUUCAUAUUUAUUAGUUUCUUUUCGAGAAUAAUUUGUUAUAUUGUUUCAUCUAAACAAAUAUUAUUUUUUUUAUAAUCAAGUCAAUAUAAAAUAUAUUUUUUUAUUUUGUUUCUUUCUGAUUUUUAGCAUGUUUAAUUGCUAAGUAACUUUUAAUUGUCAGUUUUCUAUUGUCAUGAUUGUAAAUCUGCAUCUCCAUGACCAACUGGUUCAUGUCAUUAUCAGAUAAGUGUGAAAGCCAUUACAACGCACAUAUAACCUUUGAAGUCAGGGUUGAGCUUCAUCUAUGGGUAUUACAUCUAUGCAUCAAUCAAGUAAUUUUCAUCACUGAUGAUUUGCCAGUGAUUUUUUGUAUCGAUCAGCGGAGUACGCAUACGCAAUAUGUAUUUCCUGUUCUAAAUUUAUCUACUUUUUUAUACACUACACGCUUGUCAUACGGUAAGAUAAACAAUAAUACAUAAUUCUUAUAUACUUAAAUGACUUAUUAUACGAAAUGUUUCUCGUUAUCAUAUGUUACCUCAAACAAUAUAGAUUAUCAUGUAAACUGCAGGUAGAUAUUCAUUACAUUUACAAAGAUGUCCAGAAGUCAGUAUAUAAGCCGCAAACAACUAAGUCAUAUAUUUAUCAAAGUACAGAGUACAUAUGCAAAUGACAGUAUACUAUAAAGAACCUCAGACCAAAAGUGAGAGGCCUUGGCAUGUUCUAAUACUAGAGAUUUAAUUUGUAACAUUAUUCGUCUACCUAGAUUUAGUGUUGGUUUUACUUUUGACUUUUCAGAUGUUAUUGACCCUUUAUAUUGUAAUGAUCUCGGUGUUAUCUCUCUGUGUAAAAACCAGUUGAAGGUUUGAUUGAUUGUUGGAGAUUGAACGCACUGUGGUCAAGUAUACAGCACACACACAAACGGAUUUUAACAACGUUCUAAUUCUAAUCGUUGAUUGGUACAUGUUUAAUUUGUUUUAUUUCAUUCAUGUAUUGUAAUAAACUAUAUAUAUACAUCCGUGUUUAUUCUCAAGAGAUUUAUCGAUACUAUGUUUCCGAUUCUACGUGAAUACUACUUGCGGAAGUCAUAAUCUAUAAACCUUUAGAAUUAUAAGCAACAUAAUUGUACUUAUGGUUAAGACUCUUGCCACAAGGAAAACUUAUAUUUCGAGCACUUGAAUUAGAAUACAAGUGACUUUUUAUUUACACUUCUGAUAGGAUUAACAUCACAUUUGUUUCAUAUCUUUGCUAUUUUCUACUAAAAAUUGAGGGAAAUAGGGAAUAUGCCAAAGAGAAAACACCCCGACCAAAGAGCAGAAAACAGCCGAAGCCUCCAAUGGGGCUCCAACUUCUGUCCGUUUUGUCGUGAUCUUUUAUCUAUGCCAUACCUAUGCUUGUACACACACAUAUUAAUUUAUAUUAUCAUUAUCAUAUAACUGCAUAUACAGUUUAAACUAUACAGAAAGAUUAACAUGUGUUGUGUUUGUUUAUAUUUUCAAGGUAAAUAGAAGAGAUGUUUUCUCUAAUUGGGAUAUUGGCUUUCAUUUUAUUUGGACUGGAGUCUUUCCAUUUUGUGGGACAUUGCUUGAUUAUGUUCCGAGUUCGUCAGUUACCAAGAAAAGAUUUCGUAAGAAUGCGUUUCUAUUUCCUGGUUGAUACAUUAACUGUUUUCCUGUCUUCUUUUGUUGUUUUGGGAAAGUUGCAGUGGUUAACAGGUAUCCAGUUGAUACAGCAUUUGUAUUAUUAUCUUAUGUGGGAAAAGACUGAUACUGCUAAAAAGGUAAACACACGUUAAUAUCUUAAGUAUCAGCGAGUGUUACAUGUAUAUGUAUAUGUAUACACACACACUAUUAUUCAUUUAAAAGUUAUGGAUUUUAGAAAAUCACACAAUUUAAAUGAGCAUAAUGAAAAGAGAAAAACUUGAAAACAAGUGUACAACAAAGUAAAAACCAUAUAUCAUGAGAAGAUCUUAAAACACAAUCGGCAAAGAGCUCAGUUGUGCAAAUAUAAGUUACAAAUUUACGACACUUUGGUGUUUCUUCUAAAGUUAUGAUUGCAAAUGAGACAACUAGACGUUAAGACCAAAUGGCAAAGAUGUCAAACAAUUACAGACCUGUCCAUUGACUGCCUUCAACCAUGAGGAAUCCCAUACUAUUAGUAUGCUUUAAGUAGCCCCGGAAUGAGAAAACGUAAAACAAUUAAAAAAAGAAAAAUAACUACUUAUUUUUACUACAACAAUAAACGUAAAACAAACAUAACAACAGACAGUAACAAUUGACAACCAUUAAAUUACAGGGUCCUAACUUGAUAUAGGCGCUAAUAGACUGAGACGGGUUGCGAACGUUUAAUUCUACCCGUAACUCCUUAUCAUAUAAGUGGGAGGUUUAGCUAGCUAUAAAACCAGGUUUAAACAACCAUUUUAUACAUGGAAAUGCCUGUACCAAGUCAGGAAUAUGACAGUUUUGAAGAGCUUUCGAUUUUGCCUUUGAUUAUGGACUUUCCGUUUUGAAUUUUACUCGGAGUUCGAUAUUUUUGUUUUUUACUUUUUCUGUUGUAACAAAACGAUGUAGUAGGCUAUUUGACACACAUUAGAGGAUAUACUCAACAUAUCUGACACAAAUAUACAUAGAAAUAAACAUUCAACUUACUGUUUUAUCUUCAGUCCGAACAUAUCAAAGCAUUUGAUAAAAAAAAUAUACAAAAUAACCAUAACACAGAAAUAUUCAAACGAAACAAUAUAUCAAUACAAAUUCCUAAUACUUCAGAAGAGUGUACAGUUAUUAUUGAUAAAUGCUUUUGAAAUUAUAGAUUGUAAGCUGGAGUUCUUUAGAUUGGACUAGGAGUACGAAGUACAAAGAAUGGCAUAUCUGGUCGAUUCUAGGCACAUUAUUUGACGUAUUUGUUCAUAUGGUCAUGGGUAUUUUGCUGUCCCAACAGCUCACAACAGUACAGAUCAUAUCCUCACUAUUAAUCGCACAGUCAUGGUUGAUUUAUGUUUUAAAUGUCCCAAAGUAUGCUUGGAGCAGCCCUUGGGCAACCCCACAGUGGGUGGAAAAAAGAAUUAAGCCAUUAGACAAGUAAUUUAUCUUUAAAAUUGAUUUUAAUACACGUAAGCUUCAAAAUAUAAAACCACUAUAGUACGAAUAUGAUGAGAGGACAUAUUUAUUUUUAAAAUACUGAUAAUGAAGAUAAUUCUUGUUUCGCAAAACAUGGUCGGAGAAAUAAUAUUCAUUGAACUAACGUUGACAAAUUGUUGAUUGUAAAUAUGAUCCACUUGGCAUUAUUAUUUUUCGCAAUUUUAUGUAAAUAAUUAAUUUGUACAAUAAAAUUUUUAUCCACAUGUUGGAUGUGGCACAAUCAAUAAGUUA